AUAGGGGCAGGAGGGAUGGGGAAGGGCUCAUUCUUGACACAAUCCCUACAAUAUGAUUUGCUUUUUCAGGGUGAGCGUGGAGAGAAAGGAGAGCGUGGAGAACAAGUGAGUAGGUUGGAGGGUCUUGGGAAUCCACGGGGCCUUAGUUCCCCCCUUCCUAGGAGUUCCUGCAAUGGGAAGAGGGAGGGGAUGGAGGGUUGACUCCUUUUCAUCUCAUCUACAGGGCAGAGAUGGGUUACCAGGGCCUCCUGGACCCCCUGGGCCAAAGGUUGACAUGGAAGGGACAAUUUCUGGAAUCUCUGGGGAGCCCGGCCCCCCUGGGCUCAGGGGAGCUAAGGUGAGGCUGGCCGGAAGCGGUGGUGACCUGCUCCCCCUGAGCCCCUCAUUCCCCUACACAGUUGGGGGUUUUUGUAGUUAGUUGGGGUCUCCCCCUUGCUUUCUGUCUUAGUAACGACUCUAAAACACAGGGGUAAGGGCUAGACAAAUGGGGUUAGGUGAUUUGCCCAGGGUCACACAGCUAAGAAGUGUCUGGUGCCAGUUUUGAACCAGGUCUGAUGCUCUAUUCAUGAAGCCACCUCGCUGUUCCUUCCCCUAUACAAUUUUAAUGGAAGGGGAUAUAAGAGAACCUGGGCCCAAGCCUGGCUCCCUUCCCUUCCCUGGGAGCAAAACGCAGCUUUCUGGUGCUCCCUACUCCAGCAUGAUGUAGUGGAAAGAACACUUGGGAGACCUGGGUUCAAAUCUCAGAUCCUCCAUUUACUAUGUGUCAUCAUGGUUACGACAUUUCAUCUUUCUAAGCCCUCAGUUUUACUCAUCUGUAAAAAGGGGAUGAUAAUGCUUGCACACAGGGGAAAAUACUUUGUAAAACGUAAGGUACAAAUUGAUAUUUGCCCUGUUUUUAUAUUCUGAAGGUAAGCACUCCCUGAAAUGAGCAUUCCCAUAGGUGAAUAUUAGGAGAAUGAAACUGUGAAUCUCUAUUUUAUAUUAUUUGCUUCUUAAAAGAAGUAAAUAGUAAAUUCAGUGUGUAACUCAUACCACUGGCCUGUUUUUCCGAGCCUCCUUCUGAACCUCCUUCUGCUCUCUUUUGUGCAUUUAAAAAUGUUUCAGUGACUCUCUCUGUCUUUGGCAUCCCUGUUGCCAUCUCCCUCCCUCAGAAAGAGAGGAGGGAAAUUUUCUCAUAACAAGUAAGGAAAUCUAUACAGUGGCCAUGGUCAAAAAUGUCUAUUUCCUUCUGCAUCUCAAGGUACAAUUGGAAUGAAAACUCUUCCUCCCUUUUCCUCCUUCCUUUUUUAUGCUUCCUUUGUCCUCUUCCUCCUUCGCUUCACCUCUGCUGGUCCUGGGCUUGAUGAUGAAUUGGGUGGGCAGUUGGGAAGGCCCGAAGGGAGAUGGGAAAGGGUGGGUUCCAGGUCAUCCAGGAGUCU
rnacentral:lncRNA from 1 species